AAUGGGCGAAAGCCUGACGCAGCGACGCCGCGUGAGGGACGAAGGUCUUCGGAUUGUAAACCUCUUUCAGCAGGGAUGAAGCGAAAGUGACAGUACCUGCAGAAGAAGCACCGGCUAACUACGUGCCAGCAGCCGCGGUAAUACGUAGGGUGCAAGCGUUGUCCGGAUUUAUUGGGCGUAAAGAGCUCGUAGGCGGUCUGUCGCGUCGGAUGUGAAAACCCAAUGGCUUAACCUUGGGCCUGCAUACGAUACGGGCAGACUAGAGUGCGGUAGGGGAGACUGGAAUUCCUGGUGUAGCGGUGGAAUGCGCAGAUAUCAGGAGGAACACCGAUGGCGAAGGCAGGUCUCUGGGCCGUAACUGACGCUGAGGAGCGAAAGCGUGGGGAGCAAA
rnacentral:rRNA from 1 species